UACGGAGGGUGCAAGCGUUGCUCGGAAUUACUGGGCGUAAAGCGCGUGUAGGCGGUUUCGUGUGUCUGAUGUGAAAUCCCCGGGCUCAACCCGGGAAGUGCAUUGGAAACUGCGAGACUAGAGUCCCGGAGAGGAAGGUGGAAUUCCAGGUGUAGCGGUGAAAUGCGUAGAUAUCAGGAAGAACACCCGUGGCGAAGGCGGCUCUCUGGGACGGUACUGACGCUGAGACGCGAAAGCGUGGGGAGCGAACAGG
rnacentral:rRNA from 1 species